GGACAAUUAACUCAGCUGGUAGAGUGCCUUCUUGACGUGGAGGAAGUCAGCGGUUCGAGCCCGUUAUUGUCCACCA
rnacentral:tRNA from 1 species